rnacentral:rRNA from 1 species
AACGGCCGUACCAUGCUGAAUAUACCGGUUCUCGUUAGAUCACCGAAGUUAAGCAUCAUUGGGCGCAGUCAGUCCUUGGGUGGGUGACCACCUGGGAACACUGCGUGCCGUU